rnacentral:rRNA from 1 species
UACGAAGGGUGCAAGCGUUACUCGGAAUUACUGGGCGUAAAGCGUGCGUAGGUGGUUUGUUAAGUCUGAUGUGAAAGCCCUAGGCUCAACCUGGGAAUUGCAUUGGAUACUGGCAGGCUAGAGUGCGGUAGAGGAUGGCGGAAUUCCCGGUGUAGCAGUGAAAUGCGUAGAGAUCGGGAGGAACAUCUGUGGCGAAGGCGGCCAUCUGGACCAGCACUGACACUGAGGCACGAAAGCGUGGGGAGCAAACAGG